AGAGGGAAGAGCCAUGAGCAGCUUGCUUCUCCAUCUUGCUGCUUGGAUAGUUACCGGAGAGCUACCGGAUAACGGAUAAGUGAAUCGGGGCGGGUGGCUCGAGGCACAUCAUGUGCUGCUGCAAAGCUUGGCCAGAGAUUUGAGGACGGCGCUCCCGUAGCAUUAAAUUGAUCAGAUGCCCUACUCUAGCUCAACCUGCCAGCUGAUCGCAUAGAAGGAAAGCAAGCUCUCUCUCUCACUGACUCACUCCCUCUCUCUCCCUCCCUCUCCCUAUCUCUCUCACUGACUCACUCUCUCACACGCACUCGCUCGAGCUCCCCGGAUUUUUCGGUCUCCAAGGCAUGCAGAUCUCCAAGACUAUAUAGCCUCCGGACCGAACGUUACCGCGAGUGACAGAACGUUUCCCCCGAGGGCGAGGUGAAAAGAAAAAGCAUACCGUACCGGCGGGCGGGCGGCGUGGGCUUUGGUUUUUGGUUUGGGGGAGCGUCGAGCUUGGGGGGGGGUGAUGGAGGGAAAGCGGUACCUUGGCUGCGCCCGCGCCUUGCCUGGUGGCGGAGAAGACACGAGCUGCUACUAGAGCGAGAAUCCAACUAACCGCGCUUCAGUUGCUGUAGCUGUCGGUCGACGUCUCCUGCACAGAAUUGAUGAUGCCACUUCUUCACACGGCCGUUUUCACCUCAUCCAUUUUAGGAUUCUAUUCACACAUUCGGAUUCUUCUCCGAACCUUGGAAUAUAGAUGAUUAGCGUGGCAUAGAUUUUUCUAUUUUCUCCUCCCUCCCUUCCCCCUAGUUUUAUGUAAAGGAGAGACAGGGAAGACCAAGACUCGGGACAGCCUGUUUUCCUAGACUAUAGACUGUAUUUUCAAACAUCUCCAAACGCAUGCUCUCUCGCUCACGCCCCAACCUGAGCACCACGACUUCUUGCUUUGAGAGAGAGAAAAACUAAAAUCACUAAAUAUCAACACAUGUGACUUAGGGUUAGGUUUUAGGAAAGCCCCAUCGUCGCCAUUUGAGGAUAAGCCAACAUAGAGGAGGCAUAAGGCUGGACUUGGCUAUUGCUCGUCUCUACUAUAAGCUAUCAAACAUUGCGGAUGGUACUGAAAAUGAUUAAUUAUUAAGGAUUUUCCCCCGUUUUCUAUUCUCGGCUAUUUUUAUCUCCAUCGAGGACAAGACAACUGCAGAUCCUCUCACGCUGAACUACUGGAGGAAAAGACGCAGUAUAUAUAUAAUGUAGGCUAGUUAUUUAGAAAUGAUUGUUAGAUUUAAUUCAUCACCUUGCUGUCAUCCAUAGCUUAUUAUCGCAUAGGAUUAGGGCUAAAUGUAUCGAUUUGUAUACCUAGUGAAAUGUACCACCGUGUUUGCAUGAGGAUUCUGUCAACCUCCAACGAGAAAAAUCAAGGAUUCCAUCCUCCUUUUUCAAUGAGAUAAAAAAAGACAUUGAUAUUUUUGCAGUUCAUUUUGGGAAUACCUUCUUACAUCAUCAAUAGGCUAAGAUAGCGAUUUUGAACCACGAACUGCUCUCGCCUGGUACAACAAACCACGCCACCACCUCUCUCUCUCUUCAACAUCACCCACCCGUUCUCCAUUUCCACUCUAAGCACACACAGCGAGAGAAGUGAAGCCACCGUUUGCUCUCUCCUCAGCUCUCCUCUGCGCUCUAGCUCUCUCUCCUCUCCUCAGCUCUUUUCCCCCGCUCUCUCCAAUGGCGGUGUCUUGGCCGUGAAGACCUGCUAGAGUGAGAGAGUAUCGUAGACCUAUAGACUAACAGACAGACCGACAGACAGAGCGACAGAAAGACCCACUGCCACCUAUAGGUUCUGCAUGUGUGUUUCCUCCGGAGAUCGAUGGGGUGUAAUGUGGAACGAUCACUGUGACUAUCCUCUCUGGUUCUUUCUUAACGAUCGCCGUCUGGUCUCCCCACUCCCUACAGAAUGGCACGCUUCGGUGACGAGGUGCCGAACCGAGGAGGUGGAGGAGGCGGAGGUGGAAGUGGAGGCGGUGGCAAUGCCGGUCCUCUGGGGGCCCCUGGCCGUGGCGGGAGCCGGCAAGGCGGACCCCCGGGGGGCCAGCGUGUGUACAAGCAGUCGAUGGCCCAGCGGGCCCGGACUAUGGCUCUGUACAACCCAAUCCCGGUCCGACAAAGCUGCUUUACACUCAACCGCUCUCUCUUCAUCUUCAGUGAGGACAACUUUGUGAGAAAAGCUGCCAAAAAGAUUACUGAAUGGCCUCCUUUUGAAUGGAUGAUUUUGGCAACCAUCAUAGCUAACUGUAUCGUCCUGGCUCUGGAACAGCAUUUACCUGAGAAUGACAAAACUCCUCUUUCUGAGAGACUGGAUGAUACAGAGCCCUACUUCAUAGCCAUCUUCUGUUUUGAGUCAGGUAUAAAGAUUCUGGCUCUGGGCUUUGCCCUCCAUAAGGGCUCCUACCUGAGGAAUGGAUGGAACGCUAUGGACUUUGUAGUAGUGCUCACUGGUAUAUUGUCGGCGGUUGGCUCCGAAUUUGACCUGCGGACACUGAGAGCAGUCAGGGUUCUGCGACCACUUAAGUUGGUGUCAGGGAUUCCCAGCCUGCAGGUGGUACUCAAGUCCAUCAUGAAGGCUAUGAUCCCCCUGCUGCAAAUCGGACUGCUUCUCUUUGUGGCCAUUCUGAUGUUCGCCAUCAUCGGCCUUGAGUUCUAUAUGGGAAAGUUCCACACCACCUGUUUCGACAUCGCCACUGAUGAGAUUUAUGAUGAGUUGCCAUGCGGUACAGAGUUACCGUCCAGAUUGUGUCCUAAUGGGACCACGUGUAAAGGCUAUUGGCUGGGGCCCAACUAUGGGAUCACCCAAUUCGACAACAUUCUCUUUGCUGUCCUCACUGUAUUCCAAUGUAUCACCAUGGAGGGUUGGACCGACAUGUUAUACUAUAGUAAUGAUGUAGAGGGAAGUGCCUGGAACUGGAUGUACUACAUCCCCCUCAUCAUCAUCGGGUCCUUCUUCAUGUUAAAUCUGGUGCUGGGCGUCCUCUCAGGAGAGUUUGCCAAAGAGAGAGAGCGAGUGGAGAACCGUGCAGAGUUCCUCAAAUUGAGACGCCAGCAACAAAUAGAGAGAGAGCUAAACGGUUAUCUAGAAUGGAUCUGUAAAGCAGAGGAGGUCCUUCUGAAUGAGGAUGGUACCAUUUUUACCGGUACCGUCAAGACCAAGAACAAGAAAGAGCUGCUGAAUCCAGAGGAGGGGGAAGACGGUGGAGCUAAUGGAGACCCGUUUGGCCGAGGUGGUCUACAGGAUGGGUCCAACUACAAUAGGAACGAGCGGCGGAUCCGGUUCUUCAUCCGUAAGAUGGUGAAGACUCAGGCCUUCUACUGGACCGUACUGAGUCUGGUGGGCCUCAACACCAUGUGUGUGGCGGUGGUACACUAUGAACAGCCUGAUAUCCUCUCCGACUUUCUCUUCUAUGCAGAGUUUAUAUUCUUGGGCCUGUUCAUGUCAGAGAUGUGUAUUAAGAUGUAUGGCUUGGGGACUAGGCCCUACUUCAACUCCUCCUUCAACUGCUUUGACUGUGUUGUGAUCGUGGGCAGUAUAUUUGAGGUGAUAUACGCGGUCAUUAAGCCAGGGACAUCGUUUGGCAUCAGUGUGUUAAGAGCCCUCCGACUCCUCAGGAUCUUCAAAGUCACCAAGUACUGGGCCCCUCUACGUAACUUGGUGGUAUCAUUACUCAACUCUAUGAAGUCCAUCAUCAGUUUGCUCUUCCUCCUCUUCCUCUUCAUUGUCGUCUUUGCCCUUUUGGGCAUGCAGCUCUUCGGUGGACAAUUCAACUUUGAAGGUGGCACGCCGGCCACCAACUUUGACACCUUUCCUGCAGCUAUAAUGACAGUAUUUCAGAUCCUGACGGGUGAAGACUGGAACAUGGUGAUGUAUGAUGGGAUCAAGUCUCAGGGAGGAGUAAACGGUGGAAUGGCCUACUCCGUCUUCUUCAUAGUGCUCACACUCUUCGGCAACUACACCCUGCUGAAUGUGUUCUUAGCUAUCGCCGUGGACAAUCUGGCCAAUGCUCAGGAGUUGACCAAGGAUGAGGAGGAGCAAGAAGAGGCAGCUAAUGCCAAGACAACCCUGCAGAAGGCCAAGGAGGUGGCUGAAGUUAGUCCUCUGUCUGCCGCUAACCUCUCCAUCGCUGCAGUGACAGUAACAAAAACUGAGCGUAUCGAUGCCACAGAGAAUGUGCUUGACUGUAAGGAGCAGCAGAAGAAUAACAAGGCUGGUGGUAAAUCAGUGUGGGAACAGAGGACCAGUGAGAUAAGGAGACAGAAUCUGAUGACCAGCAGAGAGGCCCUGUACAACGAGAUGGACACGGAGGACUGGAAGGUCAGGGGAGAGGGGGAGGGAGAGGUGUCGUACCCCCAUCGUGCGGGGGACAUGAAGACCCACCUGGACCGGCCGCUGGUGGUCAACCCCCAGGACAACCGCAACAACAACACCAACAAGACCCGGCCCGGAGAGCCCCCUCUAGACCUGCAGGACACCCUGGGUCACCAGAGGGCUGAAGAAUACAUCAGACGCCAGGCCUGCUACCAUCAGAGGAACAGGGGGGGCGAACCAAGGGGAGUUAGUGGCCCAGAAAGAGAGGCCCGUCUGGGGCACGGGGGGAGCAGAUUGUCCCUGCAGACGCUGGAGGGUAUUGAAGAAAGAAGGGAACAUGGAAGGAGAUGUAGGCAUAAAGAAGGGAAGGAGGGGAGGAGUGUGUCACCGCAUUAUAGCGAGGGAGGAGUGGGGGAUGAGAAGAGGAGGCACAGGAGGGUUAGGAGGGAGGGGGAGGAGGGAGGGAGAAGGCAUAAGUGUAAGGGGACAGAAGGGGUAGUGGUAGGGGAGGGGGGUGAGGUAGAGGGGGAGGGGAGGAGGCCGAGGCGUCAUCGGCAUGGAGAGAGGAGCCGACAGCAUCGAGUUAGAAAAGACCACCACUGCAGUGGCCCCAACCUCUCCACCGCUCGGCCCAUCCUCAGACAGGACAGUCAGUACAGGGAAGACCUAGACAACCUCCUCAACAACAGCAAACUACACGACCACACCCUCCACCCGCUGCCCCCGGGCCACCCUGACCUUGUGAAUAACCUCCUGAACCGCAGUGGGACAGCAGACACACAGCACCAUAGUAUGGACAGUCUAAUUCUGACCAGUAUGGCCAAGCCGGCUCAUACGCUCGUGGAUAUGAUGCCUCCUGUCUAUCCAUAUCCCUCCACCAAUGCCAUCCUGCAAGUGAACAAGAACGCUAACACAGACCAGAAAAAGAAGGAUGAAGAGAAGAAGGAGGAAGAGGAGGAUGAAGGGGGCGAUGAAGAUGGUCCCAAACCAAUGCCCCCGUUCAGCUCCUGUUUCAUACUGUCCACCACCAACCCGUUCCGUAGGUGCUGCCACUACAUCCUGACCAGGAAGUACUUUGAGUUCAGUAUCCUGUCUGUGAUCGCCAUGAGCAGCAUCGCCCUGGCUGCAGAAGACCCUGUCUGUCCUGAGUCACCAAGCAACCAAGUGCUGAAAUACUUUGACUAUGUCUUCACGGGCGUCUUCACGUUUGAGAUGUUGAUCAAGAUGGUGGUGCUAGGCCUGUUCUUACAUCAGGGUUCAUACUUCAGGGACCUGUGGAACAUCCUGGACUUUAUAGUGGUUAGUGGUGCUCUGGUGGCCUUCGCCUUCACGGGGACUGGCAAGGGGAAAGACAUCAGCACAAUCAAGUCUCUGAGAGUACUGAGGGUACUACGACCUCUCAAGACCAUCAAACGACUCCCCAAGCUAAAGGCUGUGUUUGACUGUGUGGUCAACUCCCUGAAGAACGUCCUGAACAUCCUCAUCGUCUACAUGCUCUUCAUGUUUAUAUUUGCUGUGGUGGCCGUGCAGCUGUUCAAAGGCAGAUUCUUCUACUGCACUGACGAGUCCAAGGAGUUUGAGCGCGAUUGCAGGGGAGAGUUUUUGGUGUACGAACGGAAUGAAGUAAAAGCUCAGAAGCGGGAGUGGAAGAAGUACGAUUUCCACUACGACAACGUGCCUUGGGCCCUGCUCACCCUCUUCACUGUGUCCACUGGAGAGGGCUGGCCGCAGGUGUUAAAGCAUUCGGUAGAUGCGACCUAUGAGAAUCAGGGUCCCAGUCCGGGCUACCGGAUGGAGAUGUCCAUCUUUUACGUGGUGUACUUCGUUGUCUUCCCCUUCUUCUUCGUCAAUAUCUUUGUUGCUCUCAUCAUCAUCACCUUCCAAGAACAGGGGGAUAAGAUGAUGGAGGACUACAGUCUGGAAAAGAAUGAGAGAGGAUGUAUAGACUUUGCCAUAAACGCCAAGCCCCUGACCCGCCACAUGCCCAAGAACAAACAGAGCUUCCAGUUCCGAAUGUGGUCGUUUGUGGUGUCCCCACCGUUCGAGUACAGCAUCAUGGGUCUGAUCGCACUCAAUACUAUAGUCCUCAUGAUGAAGUAUAACGGGGCGUCUGACACCUAUGAUAAAGUCCUGAAGAACAUCAACAUCGUCUUCACUACCCUCUUCUUCAUGGAGUGUAUUCUCAAGAUCAUCGCCUUCGGGAUUUUGAAUUAUUUUAAAGACGCAUGGAACAUUUUUGAUUUUGUCUCCGUGCUCGGAAGCUUCACUGAUAUCCUGGUGACAGAAUUUUGGGAGAAUAACUUCAUCAACCUGAGUUUCCUUCGACUGUUUCGAGCGGCUCGUCUCGUCAAGCUACUGAGACAAGGAGAGACUAUACGCAUCCUGCUCUGGACUUUCGUCCAGUCAUUUAAGGCGCUGCCCUAUGUGUGCCUCCUCAUUGGCAUGCUGUUCUUUAUCUACGCCAUCAUUGGGAUGCAGUUGUUUGGUAAUCUGGCACUGGGCGAGGAGGAAGGCAGCGCCAUCAACGAACACAACAACUUCAGGACUUUCAUCAUGGCACUCAUGUUACUAUUCAGGAGUGCGACAGGUGAGGCGUGGCAUGACAUCAUGCUGUCGUGUCUGGGGGGUAAGACGUGUGACCCAGACUCAGGGAACACAGAACCAGAGUGUGGCAGCACCUUCGCAUACACAUACUUCGUCUCCUUCAUCUUCUUCUGUUCUUUCCUGAUGCUAAAUCUGUUUGUGGCUGUCAUCAUGGAUAACUUUGAGUACCUGACCAGAGACUCGUCUAUACUCGGUCCUCAUCACCUGGACGAGUACGUCAGGAUAUGGGCCGAGUAUGACCCCGCUGCCUGCGGGCGCAUACAUUAUAAGGAUAUGUACAGUUUAUUGAGAGUAAUCUCCCCUCCUCUGGGCUUGGGCAAGAAAUGCCCUCAUAGGGUGGCCUGCAAGAGGCUGCUGCGCAUGGACUUGCCGGUUGCCGAGGACAACUCAGUGCAUUUCAACUCCACUCUCAUGGCUCUGAUUCGGACAGCGCUCGAUAUCAAGAUUGCCAAGGGAGGAGCUGACAAACAUCAGAUGGACGCUGAGCUAAGGAAAGAAAUGAUGGCCAUUUGGCCCAACCUCUCUCAGAAGAACCUAGACCUGCUGGUCACGCCACACAAGUCAGCCACAGACUUGACGGUGGGGAAGAUCUACGCUGCCAUGAUGAUCAUGGAGUACUACAGACAGAGCAAGGCCAAGAAGCUCCAGGCCCUACGCGAGGAGCAGAACCGAACACCGUUAAUGUUUCAGCGCAUGGAGCCGCCCUCCCCCGGGGGAGGAGAAGGGGGAGGAGGGGGAGGCCCCGACGGGACGGGAGGAGGGAUGCCAGGGGUCAACGGCCUCCCCGCCACACAGCACGACCCCAACAGCAUACCUCCAGAGGGGGGGAUGACAGAGAGCCAGUCGUGGGUGACAGCUAAAGCUCAGGAGAUGUUUAACAAGACGGGCAACUGGAGCCCAGAGAGACCCUACCCCGACCAUCUCCAUGACAACAGACACAACCCCCAGACGCUAGAGAUGAGAGAGAUGGGGCGGGACGGGUACUCGGACACUGAGCCCUGUCACCCAAUGCGAAUGGACAGGCAUGGUCGGACCAUCUCCAUGCCCCGCCUCUCAGACGACAACCAAAGUGUACACGAUGCUGCGCGGAGACGACACAGGCCCCGUGGACAUAACCACCUCAGUACCAUAACAGACACCAGCCCCAUGCGUCGGUCCACCUCCUCUCUGGUUCACGGGCGUUCUGGCAGGGAGAGGGGGGUGAGGCUGGAUGACUACAGCCUGGAGAGGGUAGAAGGAGAGGGGAGGCAUGGUGGGGGAGCAGGAGGGGGACAACGCAGGGACAGGAGGGAUAGGAGCCACCGCACCUCUCAGAGGUCCCUGACCAGAUACACAGACGCAGACACAGGGUUGGGCACAGACCUGAGCACCACCACCCAGUCUGGAGAACUCCCCCCCAAAGAGCGUGAACGUGAACGCGGUCGAGCCAAAGACCGCAGGCACCACCAUCAUCACCACCACCACGGUGGCUCCAUGGAGAAGGAGGGGCGCUUCGGGCCAGACAGACACGGGCCAGAGUUCACCCACAGACACCCCCACGACCAGGGGGACAGACACUGGUCCCGCUCUCCUAGUGAGGGGCCCGACGGACGGGGCCACAGACAGGGCAGUAGCUCGGUGAGCGGCAGCCCCGUUCCCUCCACGUCCGGUACCUCCACCCCCCGCCGUGGGCGCCGCCAGCUGCCCCAGACCCCCGCCGUGCCACGCCCCCACGUCACCUACUCCCCAGCCAUACGACACCCCAAGCCCACCUACGGAGCAGGUCCCCCUGGACGACUCCGCUCCCCCUCCCCCCGACACUUCUCCCCCCCGGAGCACGACGGAGGGGGGUAUCACCGUCCGCCAUCGCGUCACGUUUCCCCGCUUGAGCACGGAGGGUCGAGGCACGGGUCUCCGAGAUCGGCCCGGCACCAGUCGGGGUCUCGUUCACCUCCGCCCCACCAUGGGUCACCCCGGUCCCCCCGCCACGGGCGCUGGAGCGGUCCCCCUCCCGGGGAUAGUCUGGAGAGCGAGGGCGGCCCAUUCUAUGAGCGUGACUGCGAGUACGAGCGCCAGCAUGAGCCGCCCGCCUACGAGCAGAGCCUCAGCAACCCACAUCCCCACGGCAACCCCCACCCGCACGGCAACCCGCACCCACGCUCCCCCAGGACUGCCCGGCACGGGGGCGGCGUGGGCCCACCACCUCCACUUGCUCCCCCUCACCCCCGACGAGUCCCAAAUGGUUACCGCUCGUCUUCGCCCUCCCCGCACCGGCGAGGGCCCCCUCAUCAACACCCCCAUCCAGGGGGACCACCCCACCGGUCCCCCCCUCAUCACCGGGUCCCCCAUGGAGGCCCCAGAGGCCCCCGGAAGGGCCUGCACGAACCCUACAGCGAGACGGACGAGGACGACUGGUGCUAGCACAGCGAAGGAACAGAAGAACGAGGGAGGAGAGGAAGAGAGGAAAAGGAGGGAGGAGAGGAGUCUCUCCGUCUCCCCCGUCCUCUGUUCUUCGUUAUGCAGACUUGAAUGAAGGGUAAAGGGAUGCAGAAAGGGGUGAGGAAAGGAAAGGAGGAGAGGAGAAUUUGGGAGAAGUCUCUCCAUCCCUCUACCUCCACCCCUGAGACUCAGACUUGGAUGGAAUGAUGAAGGAUGGAGGGAUGGUUAGAGGAGAGGAGGCACACUGUGUGGGUGUGUGAGACUCUAAACUCAGAGCAAACAUGACAAAGAGAGACAGCUAUAAGGCAGAACUACACACCUCUCCUCUUCUCCUCUGUCUCAACUACCAUACCCAGAGUUCUCAGCGUGCCCAGGGGGGAGUGGAGAGGUGGAGAGGGAAGAAAGAACAAAAGAAUGAAAGGAAGGGAGGAGCAUGUGUAUUAAGUUACAAGUGGCCAAUGAAUAGUAAAUAUAAGCUCAUCUCCCAGACUGUUUAGGAGAUAGGUGGGUUAGUUAAGUUAAGCUAAACCUGGGUGCUCUUGCUGUUCUGUCAUUCUAUUCUACUAGCCUGAUAAGUGUUAGGAGCUAACAGCUAAACGCUAGCUAGCUAACACUGCUCUUGGUCUAACCUAGACGGACAUGUUUAAAAGAAAAAACAAGGAAAACCCAUGCCAGGACCCCCUAUCCUUAUACACGCCAAGCUAUGCCUCCAGAAAAAUCUAACUUGAAGACUAAAGAACAGAAAACAAAAACAAACUUUGAAAAAUAAAGAGGAGAAAAAAAGGGAGAACAACCACUUUAACUUAAACUUUCCUUAAAGGGACUGGACUAGAACCAGGAAGCUCCGCCUCUACUGCAAAAACCAGCCAAUGACAGAGCUGGCUGAUAUUUGAUGAGUUUUAUCAUCUCCUGUUUACUGUUACAGACUCACGAAAUGCUGACGACGGACCUGGUGUGACCUCACUUCCUGUGGGUGGGGCCUAGUGUGACAUCACGUCCUGUUCCGGUGGGUGGGGCCACAGGGGAGGGGCUGGGGGCAGAGUCAUGGACCCUUAGGGGGCGUAGUUUGUUUGCCCCCACUAUCUUCUCUCCCCCCUUCCUCUCUCCUCCAUCCUGCCGAAAAAGAAAGGACAGGAAAGGAAAAUGAUGGGAGGAGGAGCGAAAAGAAAGAAGGGAGGGAAAAGACGAUUUCUUCAGUAUUUCUUCUAUCGAUUACUUCUUCUUCUUCUAAUUCUUCUUCUUGGACAUUGGAGCUUGGUUCUUCUGUUGCAUUCGCUCAAGCCUCUGUUAAUCCGUUAUGAUGCAUGAAGGAAUUUAACAACAACAAAAAUACCUAGAGAGAAAAUCUACUGUUGGGGAUAUGGGGGCAUAUUGGGUUUAUCGAACAUUUACAUUUUAGGUUUUGAUUGAAGAAGUUCUCUUUUUCUGACUCUCUCUCUCUCUCUCUCUCUCUCUCUCUCUCUCUCUCUCUCUCUCUCUGACUCUGUCUAUCAUCAUGCGUUUGUUUAUUGGGUAAAUAUUUGUUCUAUAUCACCCUAAGGAUCCGAUGGACAACCUUUUUUAAGUUUGAUUUCCGCCCAAUAGGGUUUUAAAGCUACCAUUUUCUUAUCUUGAAAGUACUCCUAAGUUCCUGAGAUACUCCUAAAUUUUACUAAGAUAUUCCUGUUGUACUAAGAUAUUCCUAAAUUGUUUUGAGGAAUAAGUAAGAAUUGAGAGAGCUGUGAGGAGAGAGAGAGAACUUCAACCUCUUUAAAUAAGUGAUUUGUAUUGUUAAUAAUGACGAUGGUCCUAUAAAUACUGAUAUCAAUGUCAAUGCAAAACGAUGAAUGAUGAUAGUUGUUUGCCGUAGAUCUGUUGUCAUGUUUUUUGGAGUUUCAAUCUGCUGUGUCAUCUAGUUUUCAUCGUUUAUUUUCCUUGGGUUCUGUUCAAACUGUUCCCAAACUGUUCCCAAACUGUCCCAAACCUGUUUCCCAAACUGUUUCCCAAACCUGUUUCCCAAACUGUUCCCAAACUGUUCCCAAACUGUUCCCAAACUGUCCCAAACCUGUUUCCCAAACUGUUUCCCAAACCUGUUUCCCAAACUGUUCCAAACUGUUCCAAAACGCCUUUAACCGGGUCCGAUACAUGCAACACGCAUAAACUUUUCAGGGAGGGGUUAGAUGUCGGAUUGUGAUUGUGAGCAACACAGAUAGAACUGUGUAGCGUUGUGUAACGCAGCUCUUUACCUCUGAUCGGUCCCCCCUCAGUGGUAGACAGAGAACCGGGGCCACGUUCAGUAGCCAAAUGUUGUCAAACGUUGCAGAUAGAAAUGUCAUUAACAGAGCCGACGUGGUUCUUUAUUCUACAUGUAAGAGAUGCAUGUUUGUUCUAAAUAGCAUUUUUCUAUCCGAGCGUUCCAGAAACAUUGUGUCCUGCUGAGUGCGCCCCAGUCACAGCCAAAUGAACCGGCCAACCAACCGUCAGACCUCCACAAGUAUCUGAUUUAUAGCUAGAACCGUAGAGUUAGAAAGAGGACUUAUACCGGGUUAUAUCCACCUAGAGCCCUCUUUCUACCUCUAUGUUGUGAACGAGCUCCACCUCACAUCCCCAAGAGCUCUCCACUAGCUGUCUAGUCUCUCUGUCUUUCUGAUUUCCCAUGACAUGUUUAGCACUGAGCUGCUUGCUUUACCAAGCCAGAGGAGAACAUUCUAGAAACAUUUUAUAAUCUCUAAGACGUUCUAGAAACUCUCGUCUAGACUCUAGAAACUCUAGUACAUUCUAGAGCAUUCUUUAGACAGGUUAGCUAACAUGAUUGUUUCCAGAUGUUUUGGAUUAAAACAUAUUUAUUUUGCUAUGAUUACAGUUAUGUAGAUUGUAACAGAUAUUCCCUAUCAUAACUCGUAAAAUUAUAGAUACAAUAUAGAUAUAUAGAGAUAUAAAAAUGUAUAUAUUAUAGAGAGAUAAACAUACUUUUAUUUACUUCAAACACUAGGUACGUGGCUAGAGCUCAGAAACUCUCCAUUGAAAUCAGCUACACAGAUUCAAAUUGCACUUUGUCCCGGUAGCUCCACACAAUAUCCCACUACAAACUCUAUGCAGAUCUAUCCAACAUCCAUUUCUCCUUUACCAUUACAGUGCAGAGUGGUUGUGCCAUUAUAAAUAAAUGACAAUACGUAAGUGAGCGCAUAGAAAUAGAAUGUGUAGAACAGGCCUCCCAAUUCAAGUCAAUGAUGGCAUAUCUAUAGAUUAUAUUUCUAUGGGUCAGAUAGUGUAUAUACAGCAUUUUAAUAUAGAUGGAUAGAACUAUAUAGGUAGAGGGUAUGCCCACAUCGUUUUGCUUUUGCACAAUCACUCACGAUAUCCUUAUCCUUCAUAGCACAUCUUUCCUUUAUUUUUUACCCUCUUGCAGUGUUUUGUCCUCUCCUGCUCCCUCUAUCGUUCUCCCAAGCUGUCCAAUCCCAUACACCACCCCUGCCCUCCGUAUAGGUAGGUCCAGAGAGAGGGGGGGGCCUACAUUUACCACCCCUGCCCUCCAUAUAGGUAGGUCCAGAGAGAGGGGGGGGCCUACAUAUACCACCCCUGCCCUCCGUAUAGGUAGGUCCAGAGAGAGGGGGGGGCCUACAUAUACCACCCCUGCCCUCCGUAUAGGUAGGUCCAGAGAGAGAGGGGGGGCCUACAUAUACCACCCCUGCCCUCCAUAUAGGUAGGUCCAGAGAGAGAGGGGGGGGCCUACAUAUACCACCCCUGCCCUCCAUAUAGGUAGGUCCAGAGAGGGGGGGGCCUACAUAUACCACCCCUGCCCUCCAUAUAGGUAGGUCCAGAGAGAGGGGGGGGCCUACAUAUACCACCCCUGCCCUCCGUAUAGGUAGGUCCAGAGAGGGGGGGGCCUACAUAUACCACCCCUGCCCUCCAUAUAGGUAGGUCCAGAGAGGGGGGGACCUACAUAUACCACCCCUGCCCUCCGUAUAGGUAGGUCCAGAGAGGGGGGGACCUACAUAUACCACCCCUGCCCUCCGUAUAGGUAGGUCCAGAGAGAGGGGGGGGCCUACAUAUACCACCCCUGCCCUCCAUAUAGGUAGGUCCAGAGAGAGAGGGGGGGGGGCCUCCAUAUACCACCCCUGCCCUCCAUAUAGGUAGGUCCAGAGAGAGAGGGGGGGGGCCUCCAUAUACCACCCCUGCCCUCCAUAUAGGUAGGUCCAGAGAGAGGGGGGGGGGGGCCUACAAAUACCACCCCUGCCCUCCGUAUAGGUAGGUCCAGAGAGAGAGGGGGGGGGCCUCCAUAUACCACCCCUGCCCUCCGUAUAGGUAGGUCCAGAGAGAGGGGGGGGCCUACAUAUACCACCCCUGCCCUCCGUAUAGGUAGGUCCAGAGAGAGGGGGGGCCUACAAAUACCACCCCUGCCCUCCGUAUAGGUAGGUCCAGAGAGAGGGGGGGGCCUACAUAUACCACCCCUGCCCUCCGUAUAGGUAGGUCCAGAGAGAGGGGGGGGUCUACAUAUACCACCCCUGCCCUCCGUAUAGGUAGGUCCAGAGAGAGGGGGGGGCCUACAUAUACCACCCCUGCCCUCCGUAUAGGUAGGUCCAGAGAGAGAGGGGGGGCCUACAUCAGAGGGGUGUUCAUCUACCCAGAAACCCCAGUGCCUCAGUGCCUUCUGUUUUCAGAGUCACAUCUACCCUUCCCCACUCGCCCCUCGCCCCUCACCAACCCCCUCACCCCCACCUGUGGUUGAUCAACAUCAACCACACUACGCCUUAAAGAGUCCUAGUCGCUGUCUGUGGGCAGGUAGCGGUUGGGAGCAAGGCAGUAGGGACUGGGCUUUGCUUAGUUGGUUGGAACAGUGAGUAAAGCGCAGGAAGAGAGGGGAAUGGAAACUAUUUUUGAUAUGGCGGCCAUUUUGGGGAUCUCCUUUGCCCAGUUUCACACAGUGUAGUGAGAUACUGUAAUUGCAGGGGCGAAAAGGCAAUGAUUUGUUUACUUCUCAGGUGUCUCUAGAGAUAGAUAGCUAGAUAGAUAGAAUCUACACUAUAUAAUAGGCACGCUAAGGCAGUUAGUCAGUUAUAUCAUAUAAUAUGAUAUAAAUUUAUGAAAUCAUAUGAAAAAAUAUAGGCCUAGGGUUUGAGUUACUGUAUGGUUUGUUAUCUGGCAUGGGCAUUUGUAAUGUCUUCCCUUCUCCCCUUAACCUCCAUUACAGACCACCUACCAUUCAUCAUGAAUCUGCCGCUGAAACCUACUUGCACUUGACACUGUGGGUGUCCACUGACCAGGCAGGAAACUGACUACUCCAUUUCGGCUCAGCAACACCAACAUGCUUGUCCAGAAUUGUACCUGUAGAUCCAAAAUGGCUGACAUCGACACACAACACUGCCAUUGAAUUAAAGCAUGUUGUGUGGAUUGUGUGCUCCAACCAUUAUAAAAUGAAUGACCAUUUUAAGGGGUUUAUUUUAUUUAUUUUUAAAUCCAGAAGAUUUGUGAAAAGGAGGCUUUACGAAGUUUACAGUUUACUCUCAAUCGUUCAUCCAUCCAUCCUACCUUCCUAUCCAUGUAUUUUUUGUCUUUCCUUUCUCUUUCUGAUGUGACUUCUUGAUCGACUCUCUCUAUCAUUUUUUCCUCCUCUUUGAGAAAGCAGACGUCCUGCGAAAGCCAAUCCAACCCCAUUCACUCAAUCGAUCAACUGUUGUGCGUUUGUGAAAUGAUGUAAAUGAUUGGUGUGUGAGGCUAGUGUUUGUUGAAACAGAAAUAAGGGCUCUCCUAACAAACUUAAGGGGUUUCAUGUACAGGCAGGUACAGUAGUGCUGCCAAAAGUCAUCUGUAUGUAUCUCAAACCAUACAGUGGUGUGGUCUCCCCUUGUACAGCACUAGGUGUGUGCAUGCGUGUGUGUUGGGGUCAAAGGUCAGGGUGAGAGAGUCUAUGUGGGGGGGGGGGGGCACAGCAGGGGGUACGUUCCGCUGAGGUGAAACGUAAUGGUAUGUUCUGCUGAGGCGAAACGUUCUGGAAAAGAACAGAUAGAAAUGUAAUGAAUAGAGCUGACACGACACCCUUUUCUGUCAGACUGACAAGCAUAUCCGUUCUACUUGAUGCAUUUCUAUCUGAAUGUUUUCUGUAACAUUUGCACCCUCCUGAACAGACCCCGGUUAGAAGUAGUGUCACAAGUCACAUUAUUUCACAAAUGGCACUGGAACGUUCUUGGUUCAUUUUCUAGCUCCGCCUUCUUCCGCUUGCCAAUACAGCCUUCAUUAUGAUGUCAUCAGCUGCCAUUUUCUCAUUGACCUCCACCUGCAUCCCCCAGCUCAUUUUGGAGUGGAGGGUCACCAACCUCAUCAGGGCUGGGUUUACUGGCAUGACAGUGAGACAUUCCUCUGUGUCUGUGUGUUGUGUUCGUGUGUGUUUGCUACAUGUGUGUGCGCGUGUGUGAGUGAGUGAGAGAGUAUGUGCAUGAGUGAGUGCGUGCGUGCGUGUGAUCACACCUCAUCUACAGUAAGUUAUCUUCAGUGCCUUACACUGUACAGUAGGAACCAAAUCUUCUUUGUAGAUAGACAACACACACUGCACUGAAUAACGCUUUCAUAAUGUUUCCAUAACAUUUUCUCUCCAACUGUACUCUUCUCUCCAUCCAGUAUUGCCUCACCUACCAUUCUAUUCCUUCUCUCUCUGUGAUCGACGAGUAAGGUCUGGAGGGAGGGCAUGGGUGAAUGAAUAGGUGAUCGUUGUGUUGGGUCUGUCAUCAUUCUCUUUCUCUCUCUGUACAUUUGCUCUGUAAACUCUUCUUGUGUACAUCUUCCAUAAACUUUCUGAAACAAUCAGACCAUGUCCAUCUAUUUUCUCUUUUAUCGCCCCUCAAUUUAUUUUUCAACAUUUACAUUUCAAUCAUUUAGCAGAUGCUCUAAUCCAUUGUGACAUAGUGUCUACAACAUCAUUCCCACUCUUUAAUUGUGCUUGAAGUCUCACUCAAGUAAUGUCCAUGUACAUGUUAUACCAUACAUGAACACAAGGUGGUGCACUCAUGCUUUAAACAGAGUGUACAUUGGUCGACAUAACGUACCCUUCAGAGGCCUAUGUGUAUGUUGUCAUUAUAUUGUUUUCGCAGGAGAACGGGUGAGUAUCGUGUGUGUAUGUGCGCAUGUGCAUGUUUGGAGACUUCAGUGAGUCUAUGUGGACGUGUGUGUGUGUGUGUGUGUGUGUGUGUGUGUGUGUGUGUGUGUGUGUGUGUGUGUGUGUGUGUGUGUGUGUGUGUGUGUGUGUGUGUGUGUGUGUGUGUGCGCGUGUGCGCGUGUUUGUGUGUGUCUUUACGUGACAUCACACACACACACAGCGACAACACCAAGAUUCUUGACGACCGUGGGUGUGAUUGAUUCUAGAGAUGUGUGGAGCGUCUUCUACUGUCACCAUGGAAACCCUCAAGGCCCCUGACUCUUCAUUCCAUACAGUCUCCCAGCCAUCACAUUAUAAUAUCACAAUACCAUCAAUUUGUCCCAUAGACACUGAUUUAAGAUCCGUUUUCAGUGUUAACCUCCUUAUGGUGAAGCAUAGGAGUGAGGUGGGGUGAAUCUACAGUAGAAACCAUACCAUAUCAGUCCAGUGCCACAGUAGAGAACCAUACAAGACAGGAGUCCUUUUAGGAAGCAAGAAGAGAAAAGACACGACAUAACUACAUGGCAAUUUAAGAUAAAAAGAGAAGUAUUUAAAUAACAGAUUUGCAUGUGCAAUGUGCAUGCCACUACGUGGGGUUAAAUAAGUCAACUUCAGGAAUAAAAUAAAAUAAAAAAUAUUAAGAGAAAAAAAGUAUAUAUAUAUGUAUAAAUAUAUAUAGAUAGAUGUUUUUAAGAGCAAUGUGUUCCUUUUUCUUCUAUUUUUAAAAACAAACAACUGGAGAAAAAAACUUGGACAAAAAAAAUAGAUAGAUAAUCUUUAAAAAGAAGAACUUUGGUGAUGUAAUCAAAGAAUGUUUUUGUUUGUUACUUGACAGUUAAUUCACUAAAGAGCUGCGACGGCGGGGAGGUAGACGAUUUAACACUUUAAACAAAAUGUUGAAACAUUACAUUACAACAACAAAAAUUAAGAAAAGAUAAAUAAAAGAUAAACAUGGAAUGAAGGAAUACAUUUUUCCUUAAUUAAAGAAAAACAAAAAUCCCUUGAUUGAGAGUCUUGAGAGCUGCCUGAUGACUCUGGUUAUGAUGUUACCCGUUUAUUCCGGCUAUGAAAUCUCUUUUUCUCUCGCUCUCUAUCUCUGCUAUUUCUACCAGUGCAUUUUGUUACUCCGAACAGAACUCUUCCUAAGGAACCUGAAUAAAACCAGAGAGAAUGCAUUCUA